rnacentral:rRNA from 1 species
AGCGAACGCUGGCGGCAGGCCUAACACAUGCAAGUCGAACGAACCUUUCGGGGUUAGUGGCGGACGGGUGAGUAACACGUGGGAACGUGCCUUUAGGUUCGGAAUAACUCAGGGAAACUUGUGCUAAUACCGAAUGUGCCCUUCGGGGGAAAGAUUUAUCGCCUUUAGAGCGGCCCGCGUCUGAUUAGCUAGUUGGUUGAGGUAAUGGCUCACCAAGGCGACGAUCUGUAACUGGUCUGAGAGGAUGAUCAGUCACACCGGAACUGAGACACGGUCCGGACUCCUACGGGAGGCAGCAGUGGGGAAUAUUGGACAAUGGGGGCAACCCUGAUCCAGCCAUGCCGCGUGUGUGAAGAAGGCCUUUUGGUUGUAAAGCACUUUAAGCAGGGAGGAGAGGCUAAUGGUUAAUACCCAUUAGAUUAGACGUUACCUGCAGAAUAAGCACCGGCUAACUCUGUGCCAGCAGCCGCGGUAAUACAGAGGGUGCGAGCGUUAAUCGGAAUUACUGGGCGUAAAGCGAGUGUAGGUGGCUCAUUAAGUCACAUGUGAAAUCCCCGGGCUUAACCUGGGAACUGCAUGUGAUACUGGUGGUGCUAGAAUAUGUGAGAGGGAAGUAGAAUUCCAGGUGUAGCGGUGAAAUGCGUAGAGAUCUGGAGGAAUACCGAUGGCGAAGGCAGCUUCCUGGCAUAAUAUUGACACUGAGAUUCGAAAGCGUGGGUAGCAAACAGGAUUAGAUACCCUGGUAGUCCACGCCGUAAACGAUGUCUACUAGCCGUUGGGGUCCUUGAGACUUUAGUGGCGCAGUUAACGCGAUAAGUAGACCGCCUGGGGAGUACGGCCGCAAGGUUAAAACUCAAAUGAAUUGACGGGGGCCCGCACAAGCGGUGGAGCAUGUGGUUUAAUUCGAUGCAACGCGAAGAACCUUACCUGGUCUUGACAUAGUGAGAAUCUCUCAGAAAUGAGAGAGUGCCUUCGGGAACUCACAUACAGGUGCUGCAUGGCUGUCGUCAGCUCGUGUCGUGAGAUGUUGGGUUAAGUCCCGCAACGAGCGCAACCCUUUUCCUUAUUUGCCAGCGGGUUAAGCCGGGAACUUUAAGGAUACUGCCAGUGACAAACUGGAGGAAGGCGGGGACGACGUCAAGUCAUCAUGGCCCUUACGACCAGGGCUACACACGUGCUACAAUGGUAGGUACAGAGGGUUGCUACACAGCGAUGUGAUGCUAAUCUCAAAAAGCCUAUCGUAGUCCGGAUUGGAGUCUGCAACUCGACUCCAUGAAGUCGGAAUCGCUAGUAAUCGCGGAUCAGAAUGCCGCGGUGAAUAUGUUCCCGGGCCU